AUGCAUGCUUCUAAGAUUCUUCUAAUUAGUUGUUUUUUAUGCAUUCAACAUACUAAGAAUCGAGUUGUUCUAUACAAUUUAAAAAAAUUACGUUGUUUUGUUGUAAUUAAAUUAAAAAUAUUCUACAUGCUAUAUUUCUGUUUCAAAUUAUGUAUCUAUCUGCUAUAUAUACAUAACAAAUAUAUCUUCAAUUAUACAACAAAAUGUGUCUCAUAA